GAUGAACGCUGGCGGCGUGCUUAACACAUGCAAGUCGAACGGUGAAGCAGGAGCUUGCUCUUGUGGAUCAGUGGCGAACGGGUGAGUAACACGUGAGCAACCUGCCCCUGACUCUGGGAUAAGCGCUGGAAACGGCGUCUAAUACUGGAUAUGUGAUGUGACCGCAUGGUCUGCAUCUGGAAAGAAUUUCGGUUGGGGAUGGGCUCGCGGCCUAUCAGCUGGUUGGUGAGGUAAUGGCUCACCAAGGCGUCGACGGGUAGCCGGCCUGAGAGGGUGACCGGCCACACUGGGACUGAGACACGGCCCAGACUCCUACGGGAGGCAGCAGUGGGGAAUAUCGCACAAUGGGCGGAAGCCUGAUGCGGCAACGCCGCGUGAGGGAUGACGGCCUUCGGGUUGUAAACCUCUUUUAGCAGGGAAGAAGCGAAAGUGACGGUACCUGCAGAAAAAGCACCGGCUAACUACGUGCCAGCCGCCGCGGUAA
rnacentral:rRNA from 1 species